rnacentral:miRNA from 1 species
ACCGGUUUAACGAUAAUUC